rnacentral:tRNA from 14 species
GGGCCCAUAGCUCAGGCGGUUAGAGCGCUUCACUGAUAAUGAAGAGGUCCCAGGUUCAAGUCCUGGUGGGCCCA